GCUGAUGAGCAUUGAGCCCUGAACCCACGGAAUGCUGUCUGAUUUCAGAAGCUAAGCAGGGUCAGGGGUGGUUCAUACAUGGAUGGGAGACCGCCAGGAAGAGCAUUCCAGGU
rnacentral:rRNA from 1 species